rnacentral:rRNA from 1 species
GAUGAACGCUGGCGGCGUGCCUAAUACAUGCAAGUCGAGCGAACGGACGAGAAGCUUGCUUUUCUGAUGUUAGCGGCGGACGGGUGAGUAACACGUGGAUAACCUACCUAUAAGACUGGGAUAACUUCGGGAAACCGGAGCUAAUGCCGGAUAAUAUUUUGAACCGCAUGGUUCAAAAGUGAAAGACGGUCUUGCUGUCACUUAUAGAUGGAUCCGCGCUGCAUUAGCUAGUUGGUAAGGUAACGGCUUACCAAGGCAACGAUGCAUAGCCGACCUGAGAGGGUGAUCGGCCACACUGGAACUGAGACACGGUCCAGUCUCCUACGGGAGGCAGCAGUAGGGAAUCUUCCGCAAUGGGCGAAAGCCUGACGGAGCAACGCCGCGUGAGUGAUGAAGGUCUUCGGAUCGUAAAACUCUGUUAUUAGGGAAGAACAUAUGUGUAAGUAACUGUGCACAUCUUGACGGUACCUAAUCAGAAAGCCACGGCUAACUACGUG